rnacentral:rRNA from 1 species
AUUGAACGCUGGCGGCAUGCCUUACACAUGCAAGUCGAACGGCAGCACGGGUGCUUGCACCUGGUGGCGAGUGGCGAACGGGUGAGUAAUACAUCGGAACGUACCUUAUCGUGGGGGAUAACGCAGCGAAAGCUGUGUUAAUACCGCAUACGCCCUGAGGGGGAAAGCGGGGGAGCGGAAGACCUCGCGCGAUUAGAGCGGCCGAUGCCUGAUUAGCUAGUUGGUGGGGUAAAAGCCCACCAAGGCGACGAUCAGUAGCUGGUCUGAGAGGACGAUCAGCCACACUGGGACUGAGACACGGCCCAGACUCCUACGGGAGGCAGCAGUGGGGAAUUUUGGACAAUGGGGGCAACCCUGAUCCAGCAAUGCCGCGUGAGUGAAGAAGGCCUUCGGGUUGUAAAGCUCUUUUGUCAGGGAAGAAACACCGGCUCUAACACAGUCCGGGAAUGACGGUACCUGAAGAAUAAGCACCGGCUAACUACGUGCCAGCAGCCGCAGUAA